rnacentral:rRNA from 1 species
ACAACUUUCAACAAUGGAUCUCUUGGCUCUCGCAUCGAUGAAGAACGCAGUGAAAUGCGAUAAGUAAUGUGAAUUGCAGAAUUCAGUGAAUCAUCGAAUGUUUGAACGCAUCUUGCACUCCUCAGUAUUCUGAGGAGUAUGCCUGUUUGAGUGUCGUUAAA